rnacentral:rRNA from 1 species
GGACGGGUGAGUAAUGCCUAGGAAAUUGCCCUGAUGUGGGGGAUAACCAUUGGAAACGAUGGCUAAUACCGCAUGAUGCCUACGGGCCAAAGAGGGGGACCUUCGGGCCUCUCGCGUCAGGAUAUGCCUAGGUGGGAUUAGCUAGUUGGUGAGGUAAGGGCUCACCAAGGCGACGAUCCCUAGCUGGUCUGAGAGGAUGAUCAGCCACACUGGAACUGAGACACGGUCCAGACUCCUACGGGAGGCAGCAGUGGGGAAUAUUGCACAAUGGGCGCAAGCCUGAUGCAGCCAUGCCGCGUGUGUGAAGAAGGCCUUCGGGUUGUAAAGCACUUUCAGUCGUGAGGAAGGUAGUGUAGUUAAUAGCUGCAUUAUUUGACGUUAGCGACAGAAGAAGCACCGGCUAACUCCGUGCCAGCAGCCGCGGUAAUACGGAGGGUGCGAGCGUUAAUCGGAAUUACUGGGCGUAAAGCGCAUGCAGGUGGUUUGUUAAGUCAGAUGUGAAAGCCCGGGGCUCAACCUCGGAAUUGCAUUUGAAACUGGCAGACUAGAGUACUGUAGAGGGGGGUAGAAUUUCAGGUGUAGCGGUGAAAUGCGUAGAGAUCUGAAGGAAUACCGGUGGCGAAGGCGGCCCCCUGGACAGAUACUGACACUCAGAUGCGAAAGCGUGGGGAGCAAACAGGAUUAGAUACCCUGGUAGUCCACGCCGUAAACGAUGUCUACUUGGAGGUUGUGGCCUUGAGCCGUGGCUUUCGGAGCUAACGCGUUAAGUAGACCGCCUGGGGAGUACGGUCGCAAGAUUAAAACUCAAAUGAAUUGACGGGGGCCCGCACAAGCGGUGGAGCAUGUGGUUUAAUUCGAUGCAACGCGAAGAACCUUACCUACUCUUGACAUCCAGAGAACUUUCCAGAGAUGGAUUGGUGCCUUCGGGAACUCUGAGACAGGUGCUGCAUGGCUGUCGUCAGCUCGUGUUGUGAAAUGUUGGGUUAAGUCCCGCAACGAGCGCAACCCUUAUCCUUGUUUGCCAGCGAGUAAUGUCGGGAACUCCAGGGAGACUGCCGGUGAUAAACCGGAGGAAGGUGGGGACGACGUCAAGUCAUCAUGGCCCUUACGAGUAGGGCUACACACGUGCUACAAUGGCGCAUACAGAGGGCGGCCAACUUGCGAAAGUGAGCGAAUCCCAAAAAGUGCGUCGUAGUCCGGAUUGGAGUCUGCAACUCGACUCCAUGAAGUCGGAAUCGCUAGUAAUCGUGGAUCAGAAUGCCACGGUGAAUACGUUCCCGGGCCUUGUACACACCGCCCGUCACACCAUGGGAGUGGGCUGCAAAAGAAGUAGGUAGUUUA